rnacentral:rRNA from 1 species
GACCAAGGAGUUCAACAUAUGUGCAAGUCAUUGGGUAUUUCGAUGAAACCUAAUGGCGUAAUUAAAAUGACUAUUUUAAUUUGGGAUCAGAAGUAAUGUUCAUAUUUCUGCAUUAUUUUUCAAUCCCGGGGCGUUCUAAUAAAACAUGAUGUAAGCGAUUAUGUCCUCUGUUUAAGAGCGUACCUUGAGCAUAUAUGCUGUGACCCGAAAGAUGGUGAACUAUACCUGAUCAGGUUGAAGUCAGGGGAAACCCUGAUGGAAGACUGAAGCAGUUCUGACGUGCAAAUCGAUUGUCAGAAUUGGGUAUAGGGGCGAAAGACCAAUCGAACCAUCUAGUAGCUGGUUCCCUCCGAAGUUUCCCUCAGGAUAGCUGGUGCAAUGAAAUAUCACAUAUAUAAUCUUAUCUGGUAAAGCGAAUGAUUAGAGGCAUUGGGGCCGAAACGACCUCAACCUAUUCUCAAACUUUAAAUGGGUAAGAACCUCAUCUUUCUUGAUCUGAAGAUUUUGGGGUUUAGAUAUAUUGUGCCCAGUGGGCCACUUUUGGUAAGCAGAACUGGCGCUGUGGGAUGAACCAAACGUGAUGUUACGACGCCUAAAUUAAUGACUCAUGUUGAUACCAUGAAAGGCGUUGGUUGCUUAAAACAGCAGGACGGUGGACAUGGAAGUCGUAAUCCGCUAAGGAGUGUGUAACAACUCACCUGCCGAAGCAACUAGCCCUUAAAAUGGAUGGCGCUUAAGUCAUAUGUCUAUACAUCACCGCUAGAAUAUAAGAAUUUUUUCAUUUCUGUUAAAAUUUAUCAAAUUCUAGUGAGUAGGAGGGUACAAUGGUGUGCGUAGAAGUGCUUGGCGUGAGCCUGCAUGGAGCCGCCAUUGGCACAGAUCUUGGUGGUAGUAGCAAAUAAUCGAAUGAGAUCUUGGAGGACUGAAGUGGAGAAGGGUUUCGUGUGAACAGUGGUUGAUCACGAGUUAGUCGGUCCUAAGGCCUAUGCGAAAGCUGUUUAAAUUAUGUUAUUUACUUUGUUAAUAUACACAUAAUCUAAAUCGGCCGAAAGGGAAUACGGUUCCAAUUCCGUAACCUGUUGAGUAUACGUUUGUUUAUUAAAAGUGGGUCUUAUUACACUCAUCCUGGUAACAGGAACAACCAUAGAGAAGCCUUCGAGAGGUAUUGGAAGAGUUUUCUUUUCUGUUGAACAAUCGUAUAACCAUGGAAGUCUUUCAGAGAGAGAUAUGGUUAAUGGAUUGGAAGAACAUGACAUUUAUUGUUGUGUCAAUACUAUCUCCUUGGACCUUGAAAAUCUAUGGUAGGGCCACGCAAAUUCUCAACAGACCGACCGAUUCCCGCCG